rnacentral:lncRNA from 1 species
GCUCGAUAAAAGUUUCUAUCUUACAUAUCUAGUAGAUGCAUGACCGAGUGACCGACAAGAUGACAAUCUAACAGAUGUUAAGAUAACCAUCUAAAACUCUACAAGGCUAACUAGAAAAGGAGUUCCGUCUUGCUCUCUCACAUAACAAGUUGAUCAUCUCUAAGACUAUGCACUUAUGUGGUUCAUUUCACAAAAUUCAUGACUUUUAUCAAUUUUUUAACCAUACAUUUGAUUAACCUUUAUCAAAAUUUACUAAAAAUCUGAUUUAUAAAAAAACCAAAAAGGGUCUACGACUCUACUGGACUUAAUGAUGAGCGCCCCUCUCUUGUCUAGUGAAGCGUGGUGAUCUUCCAUGACCCCGUCAUACAUGCUUUCAGACAAGGAUAUACACAAUAAAUGCAUUCUAUAUAUGUUUCGAAUAUAUAAAUCUUUCUCCAUGUUAUUUCUUAAUGUAAUUUUCUUCUUGUUAUUCUUAUAGAACUAUGCAUCAUUUUCCUACUUUUUAAACUCUUUUUUUUCCUAGUAAUUAAGAAGGUCGCAUUUACUACCUAUUUACCAAUAGAGUUUUCCCAAAUGCUUCACAGUGUUUAAAGAAAG